GCCGUGUUGCUCAUGUUAUUACAAACCCGGUAAAUAGUCUAAUUCGAUAUGUCACAUUCGUAGUAAAUAGGGAAGUGGAUUGUAGUUACGACAUAAGGAACAUAUCCUUUAUCAUCUGUGAAACGCUUAUUCCAUAACGAUCAACCAACUAGUGAUGUUGUCUGUAAAAUUUACGAAGGGAUGAUUUCAACUUCACCAUUUGGAACUAUUGCUUUAAUACUAUAGCUUCCUUGUGAUCAGCAAUCCUCUAUCAAGGAAAUCAUAAAAGGAAAUACAAGCCCGAGGACAAUCUAAUAUGUAG
rnacentral:lncRNA from 1 species